UGGGGAAUAUUGCACAAUGGGCGAAAGCCUGAUGCAGCGACGCCGCGUGAGGGAUGACGGCCUUCGGGUUGUAAACCUCUUUCAGCAGGGACGAAGCGCAAGUGACGGUACCUGCAGAAGAAGCACCGGCUAACUACGUGCCAGCAGCCGCGGUAAUACGUAGGGUGCAAGCGUUGUCCGGAAUUACUGGGCGUAAAGCGUUCGUAGGCGGUUUGUCGCGUCGUUUGUGAAAACCAGCAGCUCAACUGCUGGCUUGCAGGCGAUACGGGCAGACUUGAGUACUGCAGGGGAGACUGGAAUUCCUGGUGUAGCGGUGAAAUGCGCAGAUAUCAGGAGGAACACCGGUGGCGAAGGCGGGUCUCUGGGCAGUAACUGACGCUGAGGAACGAAAGCGUGGGUAGCGAACAGG
rnacentral:rRNA from 2 species